UCUCGCCAUGUGUGCAGCGAGGGUGGUGAAAAGCCUGAGAUACAAGAUGACAAGUGUGAGCACGAAGUAGAGUCGCGUUUAAUUAAUUCCCCUCUCUCCCUUGGGAGCCGCGCUUUGCUAGUAUGUGAUACAUUUUGAGUUGUAAUCGACGAAAUAACUCGCGAUUGCAGUAUUCCGUGGGAGCGCCUUUGAGUUUGUGGAAUCAAUGUGGGGCUGCCUGCCUCACAAGUAUAGGGUGAAAACCAUAAAUAUUGUCGAGUUGACCUAGAGAUUAAAAUUGUUGCAUGGCGUUACAUGCUAUGUAGGCUGCCACACUGUAGGCCUAAUAAAUGUGUGGAAGUACCACCGUACCUGCCCAUGAGCGUAGCUGAAAAACUGGACACCCAUAGUGGUCACUGAAUGGCACAAGCUUCAGCAUCACCCUUCUCCAAUAAUCACAUGAGACAAGAAAACACUGAAAGAUCCAAAAGAAGAGGAAUGGACAAUGAUCCUGUCAUUGUCAGAGGAUCCCAGGCUCCUCAUCCUGAGAAACAGCCCAGCCAAGCAGGCAGGAGUGUGCCCACCAAACCCCAGGCUUUUCAUUUGGAUCCAUUCUGUAACCCCGCCCUCUCACUCCAAGUCAUGCCUCCAAUCCAUGCAUGACAGUUUCCAACAUC